rnacentral:lncRNA from 1 species
GCUUGCCCAGCCCUCGAGUCUCAGAGAAUGGAGCCCUUGCUGCCCUUUCUGCCUGAGCACUCACAGCUCAUUAAGAAGUGGAAGCACACGUCUGCAAUCACCGUGUAAUUACCUUGCUUCCUAAUUGGCAGCAGACAAGGCCGGCAGGCCCAACUGCAGCAGUGGACACCCUGCCAUCAGAAUCUGCUGGGGAGCUUUUCCAGAGUGUGGGUGUCAGUCCCACCCUGGCCUACUGGAUCGGAACCCAAAACCAAAAGCCCUGCCUCAGCGAGCAAGUUCAAAGUCAUUGGCCCAAAGGAAAAACUCCAAGUCCUUUGUUGGUCAUUCAGGGUGGUCAUGAGGGCUGACUGAGGAACAGGCUGUGCACACGCAGCUCAGGACCUUGGGAGAGCAUCAGGCCUGCCAACAACCCCAUGGUACAACAAGAAAAUGGCUGUGCUGGAGGUAGCUCAGGAAUCUGCUCCUCCCUCCAGCACCAUGGCAACAGGCCUCUGAGAACUGCUGAUCUGACGGCCUGGACGCCGGAAAUCUGAGAUGAAGGUGCCGGCAGGGCCCUGCCCGCUCUGAAGUCUCUGGGGGAAGCUUCUUUGCCUCUUCCAGCUUCUGGUGGCUCCACGCACUGCUGGGCUCGUGGCUGCCUCCCUCUGGUCUCUGCCCCGGUCUGCACGUGGCCUUCCCUGCGUGUUUCUGUGUCCUUGCUGCUGCUUAGAAGCACAGCAGCCAUUGGAUUAGGACCCACUCUCAUCCAGCAUGGCCUCAUCUUAACUCAUUACGUCUACAAAAUCUCCAUUUCCAAAUAAGGUCCCAUUCUGGGGUCCUGAGUGGACACGGCGGGGACACCAUCAACCCAUCCUAAGGCCUUCUUGGGCAGCCUCAGGGGGAAGCCGGACCAGCCUUAAGUGAAAGUGGAGGGUUCCAAGGAUCCUACAAAGGGGCCCUGACCCAGUCGGUGGGCAGCAGGGGACAGAGUGGACGUGGAACUUGUAGACAGACAGAACGAUGCACAGGACUCACCCCCACCACCAGAGGUCUGUGUGCAGAGACGACAGAGGGCAGCGUCCCUCCCACUGCCCAUCACCCAUGGAGUGUGGAAAAUCCCGGUCAAGACAGCAGCCCGGGCCGUGAAAUCGAA